rnacentral:lncRNA from 1 species
GUAUAAUCUAUCCCAGAUCCUUUCCCAGAGAGAAACUUGGCGAUCACGUUUUCACAUGAUGCUCACGCUCAGGGCGCUUCAAUUAUCCCUCCCCACAAAGAUAGGUGGCGCGUGUUUCAGGGUCUCUCUUCUCUCCCCUACAGAAAAGAAAAAGAAAAAAAUGUCAUUAGAAGAGGCGUAACACGUCAGUCCGUCCCCAGGUUUGUGUUUCCUGGAGUGGCCGAAAAGAGAUCAGUUCUAACCUGCUCGGCAGGAAUAACGGUCCUGCCUCCCGACACUCUUGGCGAGGUUUUGUUCAGUUUGCUCCGGGAGCUGUUUCUUCGCCUCCACCUUUUUCUCCCCCACACUUCGCGGCUUCUUCAUGCUUUUUCUUCUCACCAUUUCUGGCCAAAACUACAAACAAGACUUCGCAGAUCGAGCCUGCGUGCUGCCGAAGCAGGGCGCCGAGUCCAUGCGAACUGCCAUCUGAUCCGCUCUUAUCAAUGAAGCAGCCGAUCAUGGCGGAUGGCCCCCGGUGCAAGAGGCGCAAACAAGCCAAUCCCAGGAGGAAAAACGGUAAGAAGAGGCCCGAACCAAACUUUUCCGGGCCACUCGGCGGCCCGAGACCAGGGGAAAGGGGGGGACAGGGAGAAGGAAGCCUGUGGCGGCGCCUGGGGCUCGCGGGCGAGCCUCCCUCGGCGGCCAGCGCCGGAGCCCCACGCGCGGCCGC